UGGCUGGAGUUAGAGAGAGAAAUGCAAGAGCUAGAGAGAGAAAUGAUGUGGUGGUUUAAUGGUGGCCCGAUGGCAGGUUGCGGCGACCGGUGAUGGCGGGAGUUGCGGGUUUCAACCCGAAAUUAUUUCUUGAUAAUAUUAAUGCAGUGGAACUUGAUUGUGUUGCAUGGAUGAUUUAAUGGAGUUGUAUCUGCAAUCGGAUACCGAAGAAGCGU